AUGGCAUGAAUUUAGCUAUCCGGCGCCAUAAUAUAAUGCAAAAAUAUAAGUUUAAAAUGUUCAAUCAUACGUCAAGCCAGUGUUAGCGUGAGAGCUUUGUUAUGAUCUUUUUAGUACAGAUCUGUGUCAUCCUGCAUCGCCUGGCAGAAAACUUUCCUCAAUUACAUCAAAAAUCGAGAAAUCUGAUUCAACUCAAAUCAAUCGAUUGGAUUCGUCCCGGUCGAACCUUUUUCAGAAGCAGCGGCUGUAGCUAAGGCGAAAAAUGGCCCUUAGGCAGCGGGAAGAACAGAUCAACUUCAGAUCAGCGGCGGAAUCGGCUUCUGUUGUCCUGUUAGCAGGACAGGAUUAACGAUUCAUCAACAGUCGACGGAAAUUUCUAGAUUUUAUGAACUCCUUCAAUUAAACGUCGACGUUGUUGGAUCUAACAUUGUUCGCCGCCCCGUUUACUCACUUCCGUCAUGCGCUGGACGAUAAUGUGUGACCACAAUAAAUUCGUAGGAUGCGGAUGCCAGACCUUUUUGUUCACCACAAAAAAUCUCCCAGGAUUCCUCAACAGUCGGCUUUGCCUUCCCAAUUCGAUCGCACUGACGCGUCCAAAAGACUUUGGUCAAGGUAUUUCAAUCAGGAGGAACUUUGAUAGGGCAGAAGUUCGAGGUUCGCGAGAAAAUGGAAUCGGCGGCACAGCAAGGAUGACGGAGGCAAACGUCGAGUCAUCCGCAUGAUUGUACGCGAGCUACCAAGCCGCCUUUUUAAAGCACCAGUCUAAAUCUAGAAAGUUAGGCUUUCCCGGACACUUCAAGCUUCAAGCCAAGUGUCACCCAACACCUACUGCUGACCAAUUGUACUUAUCUAUUGUCGUAUAAUUGAGGUUGUUGAACCCUACCAUAAAUAAAGUUGUACCAGUGGUUGUACUUACUCGAAAAUGAAAAUUUCGCCGGAUGGAAAAUUACGUGAAGCGAAUCCCUAUAUUGAUAAAAAAAAAAUAGUGUUGUAGACCUAAGCAAACAAUUGUGAACAUACAAAACGAGUUUGGCUCCUUGAAGCCUCAAGGUAUAAGCCGUUUCGAAUAAAGAAAUUAAAAAAAUAAAUAAAUAAAUAAAUAUA